ACGUGAUUCUGCUUCCAUUAAUAACCAGUGGGGUUAGCUCCUCUGUAUUCUCGUUACUUUUGUUUCAGCGUCCAAGAUAACGGAUCUGUCUUCACCUAAUCACUCCACUUCGUUCUUCCACACUCUUCCUAAUUCGUCUCAUCUUCAACCUCUCUUUCUCGCUUACUCUCAUCUCUCCCUUUUCCUCUCAUUCUGCUUCAUAUUGCCUGAAGACGUCGGAUCUGUUACUCAGGGUCGUCGAACACUCUGGUAACACCUCGAACCUUGCGUAUCUCACGGAUCUGAAUUACUGUUUGCUUCUCUUUUUCUGCUUCUUCUUCUGAUUUCUGUACCUUACACUCCUCAGUCUCCCAUUCUUCACAGAUCUAAUUCCUCAGUCUUCGUCUCAUCUCAUCACGUUUGUAGAUUAUAAAAUUUUUGAAGUUCUGGAUUGUGUUUGCUUUUGAUCUGUGUGUGUAUGAUAAUUUUCUUGAAUAUGGAGUUUGCUAUGCGUGUAUGGGUACGAGUAUUAUGCUUUUGGUUGCUUCUGAUUUGGGAUGGCAUAUAUCAUAGCUUGCAAUACUUGAAGAGUAUGUAUGUGUGAUCAUCGUUCCACUGAAAAAGAAUCUUUAGAAUUUAUCCAUUUUUGUAUAGCAAUGCAGUGAGCACAGAACAACUUACUCUUAGUUCACACAAGGAAAAGCUUCUUCCAUUGUUGCAAAACGCGCCUUUAUGGUCUCCCCAAGCCCAGCCAAGCCUCAUAGAUUUGUGUAACUCCCUCGGUCAUCGAUCAUUACAGAGUCUUAUACAUUCUACACAAGCCAAAUUAUGAUGAGCACCGAAACUAAUCUCCUUUGGGAAUGGGUCGGGCGGGCAAAAGAGCAAAACAAAAUUUGAGCAAAGGUAGUUGAUGAAGCCCUGAUCGAGGAAUUUCAAACGGUUGUGAAAGAAGGAAUUUUACCACGGAGCAAAAUCAAUCUGUGGCCAGCCCAUGCCCACAUUCAUUUGUUGUCAUAGUUAAUAGCAACACAUAAAUUUCGUUAUAAAAGCACAAUGAUAUUUGUAGCA